GCUUCUUCCAUAAUAAAGGUCAAUGUAGCUCCCUCAGCAAGUCAGGAGGCCCUUGUUGAACAGUUUUGAACCAACUUUACCUGCUGUGAAAUAUAUUUCAUGAUUGCUCUCACCCACUCUGUACAUGCAUUGCAAAAUAGAAAUUCUCAUUCAGAAUCACCACUGUCCUUGUUUUUUUUUUUUUUUUUUUUUUUUUUGAAAUGGAGUCUCACUCUGUCACCCAGGCUGGACUGCAAUGGCGCGAUCUCAGCUCACUGCAACCUCCGCCUCCUGCGUUCAAGCAGUUCUCUGCCUCAGCCUCCCGAGUAGCUGUGAUUACAGAUGCCCGCCACCAUGCCUGGCUAAUUUUUUUUUUAUUUUUAGUGGAGACUGGGUUUCACCAUGUCUGCCAGGCUAGUCUCAAAUUCCUGACCUCAAGUGAUCUGCCCACCUUGGCCUCCCAAAGUGCUGGGAUUACAGGCGUGAGCCACCGCACCUGGCCACCACUGUCCUUUUUUAUAUCUGUGCAGUAUUCCAUGGUGUGCUGAUGGGGUCAUUUGUACCCCAAACCUCAGUGUCACGUAAUAUACCAUGUAACAAACCUGCACAUGUACCCCCUGAAUCUAAAAGUUGAAAUUACUUUUUCAAAAAACAAAAUUGCCAUAUUACAGAUGCUUUAGUUUUGCAAAUUCUGAUAAGCUUAAAAUUAAUAUUACAAGCUAUAAUAACUGCUAUAAUGUCAUGUAGAGUUUUUUGCAGCAAAAUUAGAGUAAUUGCUUUAUAAAUGGUUUUAUUGCUAUGUUAAUAGAAUCAUGAAUGACCUGAAGGAGUCACAUUUUUCAGUUAUACAUGACUGCAUUGGAGAGCGUGUGGUAAAGUAUAAACCAUUGAAAAUCUGGGAAUUCACAAAUUUUGAAGGGUAGAGUUCGAAGGUACACUAGAAAGUAUAACAAUUAACCUUCACUGCUAUCCUUUUCGAAUGAAAAUAGAAUCUAUGUAGGCUGUCCCUCACUUAAGUUUUGUAAUAACAUUUUUUAUUUGUAAGUGGAUGUCCAAGCUCCUCAAAAUCUAAAGUCCUGAAUUACAUAAUGACUCCACAAAUGUUUUAAGUUAAAAUCCUUAAGUAAAGGACAAAAUUAUUCUUACAACCUUAUUUUUACAACCUUUUUGUUUUAUUUUAGUUGAGCCUGGAGAAUGGAGGUAACUACUAAGCAGUAUUUUA
rnacentral:lncRNA from 10 species